UUUGUUGAGGGCUACAGUUGGACUUGCAUCCUCAAAAACUGGUUUCGGUUGACAUUUCAGGAAAUGAGCGUCGAUCAGGACACCGCGACGGUUGUCACGGGCUCGAGGGGAGUACCGGGUCGUGACACAUUCGAGUCCCACCAGUACGAUGGGAGGGCUCAGAGAAAUAUCUUUAAUAAAGACUUAUGCUCGUAAUAGGUUUGCAUUCACGAAAAAUAUUUUUUUCAAACACGAAUGAUUAUUCCGAAGAUGAGAUUUAUUCGUUAAACUUGCGAAGGUGAGUUUCUUGGAUAAUUCCCUAAGUGAGAAAAUAUCUCUGGAUCCCAUCAGUAUGAUAGGUGAAUUCGAAAAAUAUUCUCAAUAAAAGGUUUUCGUUUGGUAUUAUUU